AUUGAACGCUGGCGGCAGGCCUAACACAUGCAAGUCGAGCGGAUGACGGGAGCUUGCUCCUUGAUUCAGCGGCGGACGGGUGAGUAAUGCCUAGGAAUCUGCCUGGUAGUGGGGGACAACGUUUCGAAAGGAACGCUAAUACCGCAUACGUCCUACGGGAGAAAGCAGGGGACCUUCGGGCCUUGCGCUAUCAGAUGAGCCUAGGUCGGAUUAGCUUGUUGGUGAGGUAAUGGCUCACCAAGGCGACGAUCCGUAACCGGUCUGAGAGGAUGAUCAGUCACACUGGAACUGAGACACGGUCCAGACUCCUACGGGAGGCAGCAGUGGGGAAUAUUGGACAAUGGGCGAAAGCCUGAUCCAGCCAUGCCGCGUGUGUGAAGAAGGUCUUCGGAUUGUAAAGCACUUUAAGUUGGGAGGAAGGGCAGUAAGCUAAUACCUUGCUGUUUUGACGUUACCGACAGAAUAAGCACCGGCUAACUCUGUGCCAGCAGCCGCGGUAAUACAGAGGGUGCAAGCGUUAAUCGGAAUUACUGGGCGUAAAGCGCGCGUAGGUGGUUUGUUAAGUUGGAUGUGAAAGCCCCGGGCUCAACCUGGGAACUGCAUCCAAAACUGGCAAGCUAGAGUACGGUAGAGGGUGGUGGAAUUUCCUGUGUAGCGGUGAAAUGCGUAGAUAUAGGAAGGAACACCAGUGGCGAAGGCGACCACCUGGACUGAUACUGACACUGAGGUGCGAAAGCGUAGGGAGCAAACAGGAUUAGAUACCCUGGUAGUCCACGCCGUAAACGAUGUCAACUAGCCGUUGGAAUCCUUGAGAUUUUAGUGGCGCAGCUAACGCAUUAAGUUGACCGCCUGGGGAGUACGGCCGCAGGUUAAAGCUCAAAUGAAUUGACGGGGGCCCGCACAAGCGGUGGAGCAUGUGGUUUAAUUCGAAGCAACGCGAAGAACCUUACCAGGCCUUGACAUGCAGAGAACUUUCCAGAGAUGGAUUGGUGCCUUCGGGAACUCUGACACAGGUGCUGCAUGGCUGUCGUCAGCUCGUGUCGUGAGAUGUUGGGUUAAGUCCCGUAACGAGCGCAACCCUUGUCCUUAGUUACCAGCACGUUAUGGUGGGCACUAUAAGGAGACUGCCGGUGACAAACCGGAGGAAGGUGGGGAUGACGUCAAGUCAUCAUGGCCCUUACGGCCUGGGCUACACACGUGCUACAAUGGUCGGUACAGAGGGUUGCCAAGCCGCGAGGUGGAGCUAAUCUCACAAAACCGAUCGUAGUCCGGAUCGCAGUCUGCAACUCGACUGCGUGAAGUCGGAAUCGCUAGUAAUCGCGAAUCAGAAUGUCGCGGUGAAUACGUUCCCGGGCCUUGUACACACCGCCCGUCACACCAUGGGAGUGGGUUGCACCAGAAGUAGCUAGUCUAACCUUCGGGAGGACGGUUACCACGGUGUGAUUCAUGACUGGGGUG
rnacentral:rRNA from 2 species